rnacentral:tRNA from 1 species
UCCCUGGUGGUCCAGUGGUUAGGACUCUGCACUUUCAUUGCAGGGGUCACAGGUUUGAUCCCUCAUCAGAAAA